rnacentral:rRNA from 1 species
GCUCAGGAUGAACGCUGGCGGCGUGCUUAACACAUGCAAGUCGAGCGAAGCGCUUAAGUUUGAUUCUUCGGAUGAAGACUUUUGUGACUGAGCGGCGGACGGGUGAGUAACGCGUGGGUAACCUGCCUCAUACAGGGGGAUAACAGUUAGAAAUGACUGCUAAUACCGCAUAAGACCACGGUACCGCAUGGUACAGUGGUAAAAACUCCGGUGGUAUGAGAUGGACCCGCGUCUGAUUAGGUAGUUGGUGGGGUAACGGCCUACCAAGCCGACGAUCAGUAGCCGACCUGAGAGGGUGACCGGCCACAUUGGGACUGAGACACGGCCCAGACUCCUACGGGAGGCAGCAGUA